GCUCGUAGUUGGAUUUCUGUUGAGGACGGCCGGUCCGCACUAUGUGCGGUUUCUGGUUCGGCUUGGCAUCCUCUUGAGGAUUUAUCUGCGCUUGAUUGCGUGGAGCGGUAUUCAAGACUUUUACUUUGAGGAAAUUAGAGUGUUCACGGCAGGCAAGCGCCUUGAAUACGUUAGCUUGGAAUGAUAAUAUAGGAUCUUGCCCCUAUUUUGUUGG
rnacentral:rRNA from 1 species